CAUUUUUCUUAAAUGAUUUUAAAGGAUAGGACUGCAAGGAGAUCCAACCAGUCCAUUCUGAAGGAGAUCAGCCCUGGGAUUUCUUUGGAAGGAAUGAUGCUAAAGCUGAAACUCCAGUACUUUGGCCACCUCAUGCAAAGAGUUGACUCAUUGGAAAAGACUCUGAUGCUGCGAGGGAUUGGGGGCAAGAGGAGAAGGGGAUGACAGAGGAUGAGAUGGCUGGAUGGCAUCACUGACUCGAUGGACGCUUCUCUGCCUUGCCCAUUCCCUGCCUCAGCUCACCCAAGGCCAUCUGAAGCAGUGUGUUUCCUGUUGCUCUGGCUUUCAUUCCCUCAAGUACAAGAAGCUACUGGGAGCUGUAAAUGCCUCCAUUAAAAAAGGAGAACAAUGUCAGAUCAAUAACAUUUACUUCAUACUUUUAGUGGUGCAUAACUCUUCACAUAACCCUACAUGGUAGAAU
ensembl:lncRNA